AAAUUAAGUAGAAAUAGGGUAGUAAGAUUUUUCGUAUACUUCAAGUUAUAUUUGUAAUUUGAUAGGCAAUGGCACAUCACAGAUGAAGUAAAUCACAUCAAAUCGGAAUCACGUGAAGUACGUUAGAAUAUUAUUUUUUUUAUAAGGAGGCAAGAACGUAGCUCUAGAUUUUCAACAGUCGCUAGAUUAAUAGAAAGACUGUUCUAACUGAAAACCGAGAAGCACUUAUGGACGUGUGGAGUUAUCGGAGGCCGGAACUCAAGUGUCACCAGAAGAUUAUAAUAUUCUUGCGAUAGUCCUGAUGAUGAUGCGUCGUAAAUUAUCCUCAAGUACGCAGUAUUGAGUACACGAUGACCUCUGAAAUGCAAAUUGGGUAAUGGAUACCGGAGGUAAAGAUUGGGGCUCAGGCCAGCCGAGAGCGAAUAAUAUUUAACUGUCGAUUAAAAUUAAGUGAAACUAGCCUCCGAGUCAAAUUGACUAGUAUAAAACAAAAGUAGAGGAAACAAAAUACAGAGAGGAUCACGAGCAACGAUAAUAUGAAUUCCAAAGUUCUUUUCAUCGGCUUUCUCGCCCUCCUCCUCGGCCAGGUGAUGGCUUAUGAUGAAGAGGAAUCAGCUGCUGAUGACGAUUGGCUCAGUGAUCUGGACUCUGGUCUCCUUUCUGAUUCCAGCAUUGAUCCAGACAUCUUCAUUCUGCCGCUGCUGAAAGAGUUCUAUGACUUUGCUGACAAACUCCACAUGAUAAACGAAGAGGUAGUCAGAGCCGGGGUUUCUCCAACAUCCCCUUAUUAAAUUUCAAUAAAUCAUUUCUGAUGUUUUGUAAA